GCCUUUGUUGUGUAGUGGUAGAGCACGCGUUCCUGGACAGGAUAAAACGAGGGUUAGAUUCCCUCUUGAGGCU